GACGGACGGACGGACGGACAGACAUGGCGAAACUAUAAGGGUUCCUAGUUGACUACGGAACCCUAAAAAAGGCAAGCGUAAAAGCACGAUCUCUAAGUAUGAAUAUAUUCACUUUGUAUUAAACGUAUAAUUAUAUAUUUUUUUAUGAUUCUGCUAAAAUGUUAUAGUAAAACAUAUUCAAAUAUUAAUUUUAAGAUUAGUCAACUAAUAAAUGCAAAAUUGAAUAAUUAUAGCAAUGGAUUCUUUUGCUAUGGGUAUUGUGGCUAUAUUAGAUUUUUAUAAAUUUAUUCAUUAAAGGUAAUAGGUACUUGGAGAGUACAGCCCACAACAAUAAUAGCGGAUGAAAUAGCGCACCAAAAGUAUACUUAUGACAUCCUGAAGAGAAGAAAAUUGUCAGAAGUGUCAUAUUUAAAUCCAAUUGCUUGGGUUGGUAGGUUGGUACCUAAUAUCUACUGUAUUGGUAUCUAAUAAAAUGCACAUAAAAUGUAAUAUAUGUAAUAUAAGUGGCCAUUGUUCUCUUUACACCAGUAAAAGCUAUUUUUAAAUAAUCAAAAAAUAUUUAUGAGCAAAUGAGUCAAAACAAAAUAUCCGUCGAUGUCGGGUUUUGUCAUAUUAGUUCAUGAGGUUUUCCCUUCACUCAUUAUAGUCAUUAUCUCCGUACAACGUGGAAAAAAUAAUUAUUUUCUAAAUUAGCGUCAUGGGAUUUGUGAUAAUGGUAAUGAUAGUCAGCGUUGGGGUGAUAACAACUUUCCUGGUUGUUUUUAUUACAAUUUGUUACGUUAUUUGACACCCGGGUGUUAAAAUAUAAUGCGUAAUAAAUUAGUUUAUUAGGGUCUUUCUCAUGAACGUUUCUUUUAUUUUUAUCGGUGUAGAUACCUACAUACAGUGUAAAUAUUAUGUACCCAUAUUUGUGUAUGUGCCUUUGUAUGGUUUAAGUUUAAAUAGUUAGUACUUUAUUAACGCCGUGGCUUGCGAGGGCGACGGUCGCGCGAUGGUCGCGCGACGGCGAUGCGACGCAUACGAAAUCAAACCUUAUCGAUAUGGAAGUAUGGUAUGAGACGCGACGGCGACCGUCGCCCACGCAAGACACGGCGUAGUAGAGUCGUAGAAGGAACGCCGUGCCAGGCAAAGGUUAACAUUGUAUUAAAGUUAGCAGGUAAUACAACCAUGAAAUGUAUUUAUUGCGUUAAUGGCAGAAGAAAACUUUGAAAGAUAAACUGGAUAAAAUAAAACUUAAAUAAAAAAUAAAUACAUAAUAUUCUACAAUACACAA